rnacentral:rRNA from 1 species
UACGUAGGGUGCGAGCGUUGUCCGGAAUUAUUGGGCGUAAAGAGCUCGUAGGCGGUUUGUCGCGUCGGCCGUGAAAACUUGGGGCUUAACCCCGAGCCUGCGGUCGAUACGGGCAGGCUAGAGUUCGGUAGGGGAGACUGGAAUUCCUGGUGUAGCGGUGAAAUGCGCAGAUAUCAGGAGGAACACCAAUGGCGAAGGCAGCUCGCUGGGACGGUACUGACGCUGAGGCGCGAAAGCGUGGGGAGCAAACAGG